UACGGGGGGGGCAAGCGUUGUUCGGAAUUACUGGGCGUAAAGGGCUCGUAGGCGGCCAACUAAGUCAGACGUGAAAUCCCUCGGCUUAACCGGGGAACUGCGUCUGAUACUGGAUGGCUUGAGUUCGGGAGAGGGAUGCGGAAUUCCAGGUGUAGCGGUGAAAUGCGUAGAUAUCUGGAGGAACACCGGUGGCGGAGGCGGCAUCCUGGACCGGCAUUGACGCUGAGGAGCGAAAGCCAGGGGAGCAAACGGG
rnacentral:rRNA from 1 species